rnacentral:rRNA from 1 species
UUCUGGUUGAUCCUGCCGGACCUGACUGCUAUCGGAUUGAUACUAAGCCAUGCGAGUCAUUGUAGCAAUACAAGGCAGACGGCUCAGUAACGCGUAGUCAACCUAACCUAUGGACGGGAAUAACCUCGGGAAACUGAGAAUAAUGCCCGAUAGAACACUAUACCUGGAAUGGUUUGUGUUCCAAAUGAUUUAUCGCCGUAGGAUGGGACUGCGGCCUAUCAGUUUGUUGGUGAGGUAAUGGCCCACCAAGACUAUUACAGGUACGGGCUCUGAGAGGAGUAGCCCGGAGAUGGGUACUGAGACACGGACCCAGGCCCUAUGGGGCGCAGCAGGCGAGAAAACUUUGCAAUGUGCGAAAGCACGACAAGGUUAAUCCGAGUGGUUUCUGCUAAAGGAACCUUUUGUUAGUCCUAGAAACACUAACGAAUAAGGGGUGGGCAAGUUCUGGUGUCAGCCGCCGCGGUAAAACCAGCACCUCAAGUGGUCAGGAUGAUUAUUGGGCCUAAAGCAUCCGUAGCCGGCUCUGUAAGUUUGCGGUUAAAUCUAUACGCUCAACGUAUAG